rnacentral:rRNA from 1 species
UGAGGAAUAUUGGUCAAUGGACGGAAGUCUGAACCAGCCAAGUCGCGUGAAGGAUGACUGCCCUAUGGGUUGUAAACUUCUUUUGUAUUGGGAGAAUAAGCCUUACGCGUAAGGUGAUGACUGUACAAUACGAAUAAGCAUCGGCUAACUCCGUGCCAGCAGCCGCGGUAAUACGUAGGGGGCAAGCGUUGUCCGGAAUGAUUGGGCGUAAAGGGCGCGUAGGCGGCCUGGUAAGUUUGGAGUGAAAGUCCUAUGUUUAAGGUGGGAAUUGCUUUGAAAACUGCUGGGCUUGAGUGCAGGAGAGGUUAGUGGAAUUCCCGGUGUAGCGGUGAAAUGCGUAGAGAUCGGGAGGAACACCAGUGGCGAAGGCGACUAACUGGACUGUAACUGACGCUGAGGCUCGAAAGUGUGGGGAGCAAACA